GGGGUCGAUUGGCUUUGACAGCAAGUGGAAUUAGAUUGUAAGCAUGUCGAGCGCUGAAAAACAGCUCGUAAAUAUCAUUUUUCAAACUUUUCAAACGGCGAAAAUAAUUACGCUUUAGCUGCUUAAUCUGAAUUAUAGUAAGAUUUGCCUAGUUCUCACCAGGUGAGAAAGCUAGAUUCUCCAAAAAAGCCUUGGUUUGUGGCGUUUUAAUUAGGAGAACCGUAAAAAUAAACCUAGGGAACCUUUAGUCUCGACGGGUUUCUGACAACUAAGAGAAUAAGCGACAGGUGGCCGUUCCUAGCCAAGCUUGUUGACGAAAAACUAAGAAGGAACUAAACAUGUAGAAAGCUUUUUGAUUGCUUGUUUGGACCCGAGUUCGAUUCUCGGCGACUCCACAA
rnacentral:tmRNA from 1 species